GUAGGUGGCAAGCGUUGUCCGGAAUUAUUGGGCGUAAAGCGCGAGCAGGCGGUCCUUUAAGUCUGAUGUGAAAGCCCACGGCUCAACCGUGGAGGGUCAUUGGAAACUGGGGGACUUGAGUACAGAAGAGGAAAGCGGAAUUCCACGUGUAGCGGUGAAAUGCGUAGAGAUGUGGAGGAACACCAGUGGCGAAGGCGGCUUUCUGGUCUGUAACUGACGCUGAGGCGCGAAAGCGUGGGGAGCAAACAGGGAUUAGAUACCCUGGUAGUCCACGCCGUAAACGAUGAGUGCUAAGUGUUAGGGGGUUUCCGCCCCCUUAGUGCUGCAGCUAACGCAUUAAGCACUCCGCCUGGGGAGUACGGCCGCAAGGCUG
rnacentral:rRNA from 1 species